UGGGGUAUAGCUCAGUGGUAGAGCACGAGUUUAGUAUGCAUGAGGCCAUGGGUUCGAUCCCCAGUGCCAAAA
rnacentral:tRNA from 1 species